rnacentral:rRNA from 1 species
UACAGAGGUCCCAAGCGUUGUUCGGAUUCAUUGGGCGUAAAGGGUGCGUAGGCGGCGCGGUAAGUCGGGUGUGAAAUCUCGGGGCUUAACUCCGAAACUGCAUUCGAUACUGCCGUGCUUGAGGACUGGAGAGGAGACUGGAAUUUACGGUGUAGCGGUGAAAUGCGUAGAUAUCUGGAGGAACACCGGUGGCGAAGGCGGGUCUCUGGACAGUUCCUGACGCUGAGGCACGAAGGUCAGGGGAGCAAACGGG